rnacentral:misc_RNA from 1 species
AACUCCACCACCCACAAAUUAUAAAUAAAAACUCUUUCCUUUCGAUACUCCCCCACUUGCCUCCGUUGCCAUCAACACCAUCACUUUCUUUCUCUAUUUACACUUCACUCUUUAGCUCCGAUGCAACGACUGCGACGUUGCUACAAUGAACUCGUCCGCCUCGACCUCAACCCUCCUCCCACCACCCCCACUUCCUCCUCCUCUUCUCUAUCCAUCGAUGCCGUAGAAUCUCCUGAGACACGAAUCCAACGGCUUAUAUCGGAGCAUCCGGUUAUUAUAUUCUCUCGAUCUUCAUGCUGCAUGUGCCACGUCAUGAAGAAGCUGCUCGCUAACAUCGGUGUCCACCCCACUGUGAUCGAGUUAGACGACCAUGAGAUCUCCGCUCUCC